AUCCACAAAGCCUUUUUUUCAACUUUUGACCUCGGAUCAGGUAGGGAUACCCGCUGAACUUAA
rnacentral:rRNA from 1 species